UCCGGUUUUGGCCAUCAAUUUAUUUUGAAUUUUUGAAUUUUUUUUUAUGUCAAAAAGAACAGUAUAUUUUUAAUAUGUAUCGCUAUGUAAAAUAUUUUAUAGUAGAUUUGUUAUAUUCGAAAAAUUACUUUCGAAAAAUUGUAGUACCAAUCAACGACAAUUCUUUUGAAACCUAUAACUUAGUAAAUAUACACUAUACAAAAACAAUAUUUUGCGUACACAUUCAUACCUACUAGAAGUACAAAUGGGCCGAAUGUGGUCGAUUUUCAGAACCUCACUUUUUUUUUCCUGUCCGCUUCACGUGAAAUGUCCCUGGGGUUUUUCUAUAUGGUGAUAUUAAAGAAAAUGUAUAUGUGGGAUUGAAUGUUUCUGAACGAUUGAGAUGUGUGUAAGAUGAUGGACGUUUCUAAACGAAUGAGUGGGAGCAAGAGGGAAUGAAUGAAUGAGAGUGAGAGAUUGAUUUUAGAACUUUAAUUUUCAAGAUGGAAGAGCUAGCAGAUUUGACGAUGUAUCAUGUAACGAUUUUAAGUUAAAAAUACUAAUAAAUAGUUUUGGCUUGAACUUCAACGAUUAUUAUUGAGCAGUAUUCCACGAACCCUGAUUCCCACUGUUUUGGGGGCUCGUCCGGGAUCAGUGCUGUGGAUACGAUUUUUACCGACGAACAAAGAUGCCACGUGGAACGCCAUUACGCCUCUGCAAGCCGCACCGGUUUCCUUCGAAUAUUAUUACGACGACGACGACUAACGAAGACUACGACGCUACGAAUACGACGAUUUCAAGAGGAUGUCGUAGGAGAUGCCGGUGAUUCAUCAGACCACGAGCAGCUCUGGUACACCAAGGACGCCGUUCCAUUGUUCAGCGGGCAGGAUAAGACGUACCCCGGUGAAAGAAAAGAUGAAAACGAGAACAUUGAGUGUGCGUAGUAAGCCCCAAGCGGUGAGUCACAAUGAUUAACACAAGCCAUUUCAACCAAGAUGUUACAGCUGCGGCGAUCGAAGCCAUAUGUCAGACCAGGCAUGAAUAGCAGUAAAGGCAAGAAAUGUUUCCAUUGUAAUGAUUUUGGGCAUAUUUUGGUAGAAUGUCCGAAUAAGAAGCAUGCAACGCCUUCAAAAACAUUCAUGCAAUCAAGAAAAGAUGGCGGCGGCGGUGAGCGAACAAUCCGAACAACUGAACGGCACGAAUAUCCACGGAGUCGCCCGACACCGGACGCAGCUACGCGACUUCCGCCGAAGCAGACCUACUUCACGAGUGAGAUUGAGAACGAGAGCGAUCGCGAUGUGAUCGACGACGUCGUGCACGAUGUUCAUGUUGUCAACACGGGUAUGAAGUGCGCCACGAUUCAUGAUGAACGAAACGCAACAUAUGACAGUGACAGCUCAUCAAGUGACGUUAUCGAUCAAGAUCAAGAUGUUAAUAACAACCAAUGAUAUUAUAAAGAAGAUACGCUACGUUCAUACUAACGGCCCGUUCACACAUGGGAGUCCGUUUUACUGGUACCUUUUUAACGGAUACGUCAUAAAUUUAUGCGCUGUUCACACAUAGGCACCGUAUAACGUUCAACGAAUCCGUCAUUACUGGAUGCGAUGUGUGAACAGAAAACUCGCAGUAUACCGCCGCUAUUCUACAAGGAUGGACGCUGUCGUGUUGUAUUGGUACUAUCGUCGGAGAAAGAACAUUCGACGUUAUUGGCAGCAUCCACUUAUGGCCCAAAGAUCUAGAGAGGGUGCUUACAGUUUACUUAUGAGUCAGUUACGAGGUGAUGAAUCGAAAUUUUUCAAUUACUUUCGUAUGUUAAUGUCUACUUUUGAUGAACUUCUUAAACUAUUGGAAAAGGAUUUAAAAAAGCAAGAUACUCGUUGGAGGAAAAGUAUCUGCCCAGAAGAAAAACUAGCGAUAUUUUUAAGGUAUGCAGCAUCCGGGUGUUCAUUUAAAGAUCUUCAUUACACCUAUCGCGUUGGUGUAUCGACUGUUAGCAACAUUAUUAAAGAAGUUUCAAGAUGCAUAUGGAACAAUUUAAGUGAAAAAUUUAUGCGACUUCCUACAUCAGUCGACGAAUGGGAACAGAUAGCAAGUGGAUUUAACAAAAAAGCUAAUUUUCCCCACUGUCUCGGAGCUGUCGACGGAAAACAUAUCCGACUUAAAAAACCACUAAAUAGCGGUUCAAUGUAUAUCAAUUACAAGGAUUUUUUUUUCCAUCAUAUUAUUAGCGAUCGUAGACUCUGACUAGCGCUUUGUAUACGUCAGUGUCGGAUCUUAUGAAAAAGAAUGCGAUUCAUCAAUAUUCAAGGAGACAACAUUUUGGAAAAUGUGAGUCAAACAAAACCUGUCGUGUCGCAUCACUCCCCCUCCUACACCCCGCACACACCGCCCGCACAGUAUCUAUCCGUUAAAAUUCUACGUAUCCGUAUAUUUUUACUGUUCCGUCGUCCAGUAUUCGAUGACAAAACGGAAUGUAAUUUUUACGGAACGAUAUUUUUUACUGUAUACAGAAUACUGUGCCAUGUGUGAAGUCACUCAUACAACUCCAUACGCCAUCGACGAAAAAAAAAAAUAUAAGAUAAAACGGAACAGUAAAACGGAGACAUGUGUGAACCGGCCGUAAGCGGCGUCCAAAAAUUGUUGCGUUCUUAUUACAAAUGUACUUAAAUGUCAUUUUCAACUACGACUGCGACAGAUAAUACGGAAAGUAUGGUACAGAAAGAGAUAGCUAUUUGUGGUGAGUCGCGCUUGAAGUAUACUAGUGAAUCAUAGAGUAUGCGGAUUUGCCAUAGAUGGGAAAUUGGAUAUAAGCAUAGGUACAUUAAAUUGGUAAGGACGUAUUAAAUAAAACAAAAAACAGAAUAUUGUUAAUUAUUUAAUCACAAACUUAGACUAAGAUACAAUUAUAAAUUAUAAAAAUAAAAAAAUGAAAGUUGAGUUGGCA